rnacentral:rRNA from 1 species
CACGUAGGCGGUCUGCUAAGUUCGGAGUGACAGUCACCAGCUUAACUGGUGAAGUACUUUGAAAACUGGCGGACUUGAGAGCGAAAGAGGGACAUGGAAUUCCGGGUGGAGCAGUGAAAUGCGUAGAGAUCCGGAGGAACACCAAAGGCGAAGGCAGUGUCCUGGCUCGUUUCUGACGCUGAGGUGCGAAAGCCAGGGGAGCGAACGGGAUUAGAUACCCCGGUAGUCCUGGCCGUAAACGAUGACCACUAGGCGUGGGAGGGAUCGACCCCUUCCGUGCCGUAGUCAACACAUUAAGUGGUCCGCCUGGGGAGUACGGUCGCAAGACUAA